CUCAAGUGCAGUUUUCAUUUACAACUUUGAUCGUUCGUCUUAUUUUAAUUUUUUUUAUAAUUAGUUUUUUUCUAUGAGAUGAUAAGACAUGAAUAGUACUUUAUGUGUGGCUUAUGUUUUUAAUUUUUUUUAAAACAAAUUCAAAUAAGAUGGAUGAUCAAAAUUAAGCAUGGAAAAACAUGACUGCACUUAAA
rfam:Oryza sativa (indica cultivar-group) chromosome 9, whole genome shotgun sequence.